CAAAGGUUUACCAAGUUAAAGAAACACAAAAAAAAACCAAAGCAAAAACAGUGCAGCUGAGAUAUACAGGUAUAAAUAAUUAGAAACCAUCAGGCUAAUGUUGUGGCAGAACUCAAGGCGCUGGAUCGUAGGCUGCAGAGUGGAUCUUGGAUUCAUCUCAGAAUAUUCUGCUAGCAACCUCAGUUUGGCCUUGGUAUUUCCCCACCAGACAGGCAGUAUCAGGCCCAUUAUCUGUCUUUGUAGUGUAUGUAGAACUAGAGGAAGAGAGAACGUCCAUUCAAAGAGCUGGGAAAAGCUGAGGCCACGGUGUUGGGAAUAUGAGGCAAAAGGGAAAUGCACGUCAGCAGCAGAUCACAAGAAAGGGUGAGUAGAGCAUGUAAUCCUGGUUUGCAAUUCAGCUCUUUCUUGAUCAGUGAACUGACACAUAGCUGUGUUUUUUCCAGGUAAAUGAAGAAGUGAGAGUGAGGCACAUGCCAGCUAAGUAAUAGACUUCACAGUAGCAUCUCUGUGUGAUAAUACUUAGCCACAGUAAGAGUGUUUCGUCCUGCACAGGUGGACAAGAAGCAUCAUGCAGAAAAUUUUUCCAGUGGUAGUAUCCGACAACAGAUUAGGAUUUGUGUCAAAAAAUAUGAUGGUCCGUCUGGUCGGUGGAAAAUAUUCCAACGACCACCCCUUCUACCUAGGAUCCUUGAAGUUUUGGAUUCUAGAGAAAAAUCAAAAUGUUCUUGUUAAAUUUGUCGUUGUAGUGUUUGAUAACAGUUUAGAAUCCGCCCGUCCUAGGAUCGCUCUGGAAUGCAACAACCUGCUGCAAAUGCAUAAUCUUAUCUGAACAUCACCAUAUCAGUAUAGCCUCGCUAAAUCUUCAGAGUUCAGAGUGAAGGAAAAAAAAUAAGGGAGGCAUCUUUUUGGCUGAUAGCCUUAUUUCACCAGAUCCAAUCGAGCUUAGUUGGGUGCGGAAUAGUUUUAAGUAAUUAAACCAGGAGUAAUUUCAGUUGUGUGAUCUUGUUGUUCAGGACACUUGAGCUUUUCUGAAGUUGUCUAUUUUUCUUCUUUAAAAUGUGAUUCUUUGGUUCUUCGGUUAAAAGUUGUUGAUGGCUGCUGGCUUUAGACAUUAAUAGGGAUAGUCAAGUCUACCCAUACAUUUCUGUACACAUAGCAGUGCACCAUAUGUCUGGCAUCCUUGAAGCUGAAGAUGUUGUUCCCUCCAUCCUAAAUUACUAUUCAUUUUAACUUUUCUAGAUACAUAGCUUUUGAUAUACAUUUAUUCUUCACAUUUAUGGUUAUGUGUAUGAGGAAACAAAAUGCUUCACAACAGGUUUUCAGAUGAGGUAUAUAUGCACAUUCUUGUUUUGUGUUCUUGUUCUGUGUACUGUUUAAAGGCCCGUUUUGCCAUUUUCAGUGCCUAUUAUUGUACCAAAGACCUGUCAUGCUAUUUCUUCUGUUUUUCUGUAUGUCAUGCUGGUGGAAAAAUUUGUCCUAGCUUCAAGCAAUCGGUCAAAUAUAAUGUACUUUCAAGUCUUUCAGAACCAUUUACAUUUUUAUCGCUCCAUCGAUAUUGAUUGAGCACAGAGACCCGGAUAACUUUGGGUGUGUUUGGUUGUUUGCCCCUAUAGCUUUCCUCGCCUAGCUUGGCAAGGUAAGCCUUGCUAGCUUGGCGUGAAAAAACUUGAAAGCUUAAGCUCCAAGGCAGCUAGCUAGCUAACCAAAUAAGUUUGUCUAGUGCCAAGCUAAGCAACACAGUACUCAGCAAAGGGUACCAAACACACCAUUUGUCAUCCACCUGGUGUGGUAUUUUUUUCUUCUAUUUAGUCUUUUUUGUUGUGUGAAGGAGAUCAAAAGGUAAGAGCUGGCUGAAAGAUGUAGCCAACGAAUGGAAUCAAUAUAUAGACAUUCUUUUUCAUUCAGUUAGACCUUCUUUCAUGGCAAAUUCCAAUUUAGAGUUCGAAAAAAGGGCAAAUAAACUUCCAAUUUGCCCAAUCUUUUGUCUAGUGCAUGUCACUCAUUUCUCGUUGAUGCUCGAUCUUGUAACGUGCCUAAUGUUCAAUAGUGCAUACAGCUGGAUAGAGCUUGAUGAAUCAGCCAAGAGCGUGCUGCCCGGGGCAUGCAAGAUACCUUCUACUACCAGUCUACCACAUACAUAUUCACAGUGAAAAGUACAUGAUCAUUUAGACAAGUGUAACAAACAAAUUAAAAUUAAAUGCACCUGCAACAAUUGAAAACUUGUACUACCAGUCGAAAAGAAAAAAACAAUCCAGUGGCACUGGCAUAAUACAUGGCCGCCUAUAUAUACCUAGUGCUACCGGGCUCCAGAGACAAUUCAACAAAAAUACAAAACACCAGCACACCCCCAGCAGAGUGUAGACUGGAGGAAGAGAAGACAAGGAUGAUUGGAGGCGUUGGAAUAGGAGGCAAAUGGGAAUUACAAAUUACUGAUCUCCUUUGAAAUAGUUCAAGAUAUGAUCAUUUGGAUCAGUAAAUGCAUAGCCACAAAAAUAUGCCAACAAUUUUCGUUGGGACGUACUGAGAGACAAGGAAAAUAUUUCCACUGGUACUUGAACAAUUUGCGUGGCUCCAUAUAUAGUGUUGCUCCCCUUUAGAGAACAGUGAGGCUCCACAAAGUUUCAGCACCCAACAAAGUGUGAAACUUUUCCUCCAAAAAAAAAAUAAAUGAUGGGAGCACUGCCAAUGAAUUAAGAGAGGGGGGGGGGAUGAAAGUACAAAGGUUUAGCAAAUUAAAGACAGAUAAAAAAAAACAAAGAAAAAACAGUGCAGCUGAGAUAUAACAGGUAUAGUAGAAAGCAUCAGGCUAAUGUUGUGGCAGAGCUCAAGGCCCUGGAUCGUAGGCUGCAGAGUGGAUCUUGCAUUCGUCUCAGAGCAACCUCAGUUUGGCCGUGGUAUCUCCCCACCAGACAAGCAGUAAAUCAGGCCCAUUAUCUGUAUUCGUAAUGUAAAUAGAACUAGAGGAAGAGAGAAUGUCCAUUCAAAGAGCUGGGAAAAAAAGCUACGGCCACGGUGUUGGGAAUAUGACGCAAAAGGGAAAUGCACAUCAGAAGAACAUGACUUGAAAGGUUGAGUAGAGCAUGUAAUCCUGGUUUGCAAUUCAGCUCUUUCUUGAUCAGUGAACUGACACAUAGCUGUGUUUUUUCCAGGUAAAUGAAGAAGUGAGAGUGAGGCACAUGCCAGCUAAGUAAUAGACUUCACCGUAGCAUCUCUGUGUGAGUGUCUCGUCCUGCACAGGGGACAAGAAGCGUCAUGCAGUGGUAUGUAUAGAAAAUUUUUGCAGUGGUAGUGUCCGACAACGGAUUAGGAUUUGUGUCCAAAAAAAUGAUGGUCCGUCCGGUCGGUGGAAAAUAUUCCAACAACCACCCCGUCUCCCUCCUCUAAUUAUUAGUUAUAAAAAUAUUGGGUGGUCUAAUUAUGCACCAAAUUCUCUCUUCCUCACAUUCAAACAAUGAAGCUGGUUGUUCUUUCAACUCAUGUUUGUUCUUUUGAACUAUAUAUAUUUUGUUCCACUUGAUCCAACUUUUUG
rnacentral:lncRNA from 1 species